GCGUUGAAGCAAAAAACUCUCUUGUCUACAACAAAUAUUUUGAUUAUUUAAAAAACAGGUAUAUUUCAAUGGAAAUAUCUAUGGAGGAAAAAGCUUAGAAUUAUCAAACCUACCAGAACAGGUAUAUUCAUUUACUAUUAUGAAUAGCUAAAUUCAUAAAUUUCUAACAAUCAUAAUAUGAUAAAAUAAGUUCAUGUUAGUUGCUUUAUAGUAGAAUUAUUCGAAAAAUAGCAUGUUAAGAAGUUUAUUAGCAAAGUGAAAAAAGAGAAAAAUCCCUAAGAACUAUGUCAUCCUAAAGGUGAAACCGGUGAGGCAAGAAAGCCGUGAUAAGGGAGUAACCAAAGUAGAGGCGCUGUUUAAGGGAAAAAUAUCCAGAUUACCAUGCUAAUAGUGACCGAAGAAUAUGUUAUUUAAGAAUAAUCUAGUAUAUAGCAAUCUAAAGUGAUCAUAUUUUUUUAUGUGCAUGAUUGAAGAAAAUAUUUUGAAAAUAGCAAUUUUAUGAAAAGGAGAUAAUUAUUUAUCUGAUGCAAUGGUAGAUAAAUUUAAAAUACUUGUUUUGUAUGUACUUAAGGAUAUAGAAAUUGUAGAUAUAAGAUAAAUCUCAUUGGAAAAAAUAUUUGAUAAAUAUUUUAUGACUAGAAUAAAUUAUAUACCACACUUACCUAACUACUCUUACAAAUACCUACAUACCAAACCUACAUAUCAACCAUGAUAAACUAUAUAUGUUUAGAAUUUUGGAAAAUGGAUAUGAAAAAUAUACAAUCAACAGAAAAACAAAUGAAAACAAAUUUAGAUGAAUAUAUGAGGACUAAAGAUAUAAAAUGUAUACAAUUUCUUAGUGAUAAUAAAAAUAUGCAAGAACUACUAAGGCUAAAACAAACAACUACAAAAUAUUAUAAUAAAAUAUUUAAUAAAAUUUUAAAUGAUAGAUCAUCUUAAAGUCUUAAUCUUAUAUAUACUUAGAGAUAUAGAAAUUAUAGAUAUUAAGAGGACAAUAUUAGAAAAAGUAUUAGACUAUGAAAUUGAAAUUACAAAUUAGAUAGAAUAGCUAUACCUGGAUAAUUACCCAGAUGGAUAUUAUUCAGAUUAAGAAAUGUUAGAAUAUAUUAGAAAAACUAGAGAAAAUCAAGAUAAUCUAAAUGAAGAAAUUAAUUAUAGAAACCAAAUUAGAAAAAUAAUGGAGAAUCUAAAAGAAAAAUUAAUAUGGAUAGAAGAAACCCUAGAAAAUUUACGAAAAAGUACAUGUGAUAGUUUAUAUAAUUUAAAAAACUAGCUAUGAGAAGAACAACACAAGAUAAUAAAUAGCAUUGAAAAUCUAGAAUUAGAUAUACAUUACAGUACAAUUAGGAUAAAUUAUUAUAUAAAAAUUUGUAAAUCUACAAUUAUNNNNNNNNNNNNNNNNNNNNNNNNNNNNNNNNNNNUAAAUCUACAAUUACUAUAGGAUAAAAUGAUAGACUAUGAAUAUUUAAAAUAUUGGAGAGAAAAUAUGAAAGAAAUAAUAUUAUUAGAAAAACUUAUGAAAGACAAUCUAAUUGGAUAUUUUGAAACAAAAGAUAUAGAAUAUUUAGAAUACCUUCAAAAUAAUAUAGAAGAAUUACAAAAACUAAGAGAAAAAAAAUAAAGAAUAUUAUAGUAAAACAUUUAAUCAAUUACCAUAUAAUCACCCCUCAAGAUAUAAAUAUCGAUAAAACUAACAUAAAUAAACUCAAAAUAAAAAUAAAAAUAAAAAUAUUUUGAGAAGUUAAGAAAUAUUCACGCACAAAUAAAAAUAGAUACAAUGGAUCUAUUUUACCACACAAGUUAUCUGCACCCCUGCAAUUGUGGUAUCAAAUUCUUUAUGCUUCUCUCCUUUAAUUUAAUCCUCCUAUACAAAAUAUAUACUACUUACCUAUUUUUAGUGCAUGGAAGAAUAUGAUUAAAGAAAUAGGAAUACAUUGAAAAUUGAACUAUAUAUGCUAUCGUGCAAUUCUUUUUAUUUUCAACUCAAUACAUUGAAGUAUGUAUGCUAUCGUGCAAUUUUUUUUUAAUUUCAACUUAAAGAUGAUGAGUUAUUAUUUUUACUUCUUUCAUUAUGUCAACUGUCUCAAGAUUUAAAUUAUAUGAAAAAUUCUCUUUAAAAAAGACAUAAAAAAAAAAAAGAAAAAAAGAAAAAUUGUAACUAGCCUAGUAACUCUCUUCCUUUAUUCAGACUUAGAAUUGAUAAUGUGAGCAAACUAUACAAACAAUGUUCCAACAUAAAUGGAGACCCGACAACACAAGCCAGGUGUUACAACAAAUUCCAACUUUCAUUUUCGAUUUUUAUCUUCUCUAAAGCUCUAAGAUCUUUCAUCUUUCACUUUAAAUAAUUUCUCUUCAUCUCUCGAAUAAUUUGUGCUCCAUAUUGAUGGAUUUUUUUUUUUUUUUGCUUUUCUUCAAUUUUGAUUUGUGGUAAUUGAGUUGAUUUUGAAGGAUUUUUUUUUUUUUUGAAAAACGAGAGUUGAUUUAACUGAUUUUUUUUACUCUUAAGUUAGUAUUUGUUUGAUUGUUGAUGGAUUAAGAUUGACCUUGUCGAUUGCAUGGUGAAAUUUUUUCGCGAAUUUAAUUGGCUAAUGUGCCAAGAAAUUUAGAUGUUUUUCUGUUAGUAGACCAUUCAAUUGAUAAGGUAUUUGUUUGGUUUGGAUUGAAAAAAACUGAAAUCUUUGUAAAAAAUGAAACUUGAUUUUACUGAAAAUCUGUGUUUUUAAGUUGAUAUUUGUUUGAUUGUUGAUGAAUUAUGAUUGUCCUUGUCGAUUGCAUGGAGAAAUUUUUUUGCGAAUUUAAUCGGCUAAUGUUUCAAGAAAUUUGAAUUUUGUUCUAUUAAUAGACCGUUCGGUUGAUUAGGUAUUUGUUUGGUUUGAUGAAAAAAACUAAAAUCUUUUAAAAAAUAAAAUUUGAUUUUAUUGAAAAUCUGUGUUUUUAAGUUGAUAUUUGUUUGAUUGUUGAUGGAUUAUGAUUGUCAUUGUCGAUUGCAUGGUGAAUUUUUUUCGCGAAUUUAAUCAGCUAAUGUGCCAAGAAAUUCGGAUGUUGUUCUGUUAAUAGACGGUUCGGUUGAUUAGGUAUUUGUUUGAUUUGGAUGAAAAAAACUGAAAUCUUUUUCAAAAAUGGAACUUGAUUUUACUAAAAAUCUAUAUUUUUAAGUUGAUAUUUGUUUGAUUGUUGAUGGAUUAUGACUGUCCUUGCCGAUUCUAUGGUAAAAAUUUUUUUGAAUUUCAUCGGUUUGUGUGUUAGAAAUUUGGACAAUGAGAACAAUUUUAUUUAUGAUUCUAGACUUAAUAGAUUUUAGUCGUCUUCUUUUUACCUCAUUUUCAUAUAGUACUUGAUAUCGGUUUUUCGACGACCACCAAAAUUAUGCAACAGAUUAAAGCUUUGGAACAAGCUAAGGAGUAUUUCAAAUGAAAAAGAGAGACAUUAUUUUUGUUGAAUCAAAAUGAGAAAGGGAUGAAUAAAUGAACAUAAAGGAGCUCAAAAAGGUCCAUGUCAUUUAUAUAGUAGGGCUACCAAAAAAGUGACCAGUGGAAACAGUCUAAAGAAUAUUUAUGUCUUCUAUAACCGAUUAUUAAGGUUUACUAUAGACCCUAUCAUUGUAUGCCUGAAAGAGUUAUAAUUUUAAACAAGGUGUAGUUGGAGCUUCUUAAAAUUGACGAAGUAAAAAGAGAUUGAAGAAAUACUAAACUAUGUAAAUUAUUUAUUAUAUACUGACACCGUUGUUGAUUUCUACACAUGAUAGAUAGAAUAUCAAUUUUUCGAGAAGUCGAUUAUUCACCUACUCAUAGGUCUAGGAUCAACUAUCUGAAUAUAUG
rnacentral:lncRNA from 1 species